rnacentral:rRNA from 1 species
UACAGGGGGUGCUGGCGUUGUUCGGAUUCAUUGGGCGUAAAGGGUGCGUAGGCGGUCGUGCAAGUCGGAUGUGAAAUCUCAGGGCUCAACCCUGAAACUGCAUUCGAUACUGCGCGGCUAGAGUGCUGGAGGGGAGACUGGAAUUUACGGUGUAGCAGUGAAAUGCGUAGAUAUCGUAAGGAAGACCAGUGGCGAAGGCGAGUCUUUGGACAGCAACUGACGCUGAGGCACGAAGGCCAGGGGAGCAAACGGG